rnacentral:lncRNA from 1 species
AGAAUCUUCACUCAGCCUUUAAUAUCGUAUUUGGCAGUCAGUGAAGUCACAAGGAGAGAGAAGAAAUGGGAGGGCCGGUGACGGUGGCUACUGCCCAUAGAUAGCCGUGCUAGGAAGCUGGGAAUGUCCUGUGCCCACCACCUCUCACCCACUAUUCUGUCACUCGUCAACUAGCAGAGACUAGGAAAGAAUUAAAUGGAAGUGAUGCUGACCCAGAGAAGAUGAUGAGAACAUGGAGCAGAGGAGCCAGAACUGACCAUAUGGGCCUAGUUCUUCUGUACUAUAAGAAGGUAGCUAAAGCCAGUGGAAGUCAAUAUUCAAUACAAGUUUAAAUAAACCCACAACAUCAAAGCAAAGCCUACAUUAUCAGCAUCUAACUUUCAAUGAUUUGGGGGAACAUUUAUCAAGCAUCCACUAAGCCCUGUUUAGAUACUGGGCAUAUCCCAAUGAACAACACAAAGCCCAUAUCAUCAUAAAGCUUCCAUCAUACAUGACUCAACCUAAGCACUAGACUCUUGGAGGGCAGCCAACCUUCACCAGACAAGGCAAGAUUCCCCAUGACACCAAGGACUCCAGUCAGAAUCCACAGUAUAUUGGCAUCCACUUUCCCUAUCUCAGCAACGAAGAAUGACCACUGCUUCUUCUGAGGAGCAGAGUUCGGUUCCCAGCACCCUCAUCUGGUAGCCACAGCUGCCUGUAACUCCAGCUCCAAGGCGAUCUGACACCUCAGGCCUCUGCAGGCAGCUGCAUUCACACACACACACACACACACACACACACACACACACACACACACCACUUUAAAAUAAAAUAAAGGAAUCAUUAAAAAAAAAAAAAAAAGCUUAGUUUCUUGAUACCCCCAAAUAGUUCAAUGUUGAUGCAAGGACAAAGGGUCCUGUUUCUUCCACUCUAAAACUACGAAGCCAGACCCAAACUCCUCAGGCACUGUGUUCCCUGUCUCAUUUUGUCAUGCCCCUCUGCAUGGAAAUCAAAGAGGAGGCAAGAGGUCUAUUGCUCUGUACAUCCAACCACAGCAUGGCAGGUGCUGAAGUCAAAACCAGAACCUUAAUAAUCUGGGAAAGCCUUGCUCUCCCAGAGGCUGCAUCUUUGAACAUGGGCUUACUCACUGCAUCGGAUACGUUACCAGGAAUUGUCAGUUCUCUCUGAUAUCAGCCUGCUUUUCGCUACUCCCCUUUCCUCAGUACACUUCAACAGCCAGAAGCAGCAAGCUUCGCCAUGCCGCCAAGCCUCUGCACAUGUUCUCUCCUCAUAUCACAGUUGCCUCACACACCUAUGGAUCCCAAAUAGGGCUUAAAAUUCUUCCUGGUUUAAGUUCUUUGAUUGUGCUAAUGGCCCCAGCACAUCGCUUUUCGCCAAGUUCCUUGGCAUGUCUUCUGCUCCACCCAAUUCUGGCUCCGGCUUGGCACCUUGCUUUGGCUGUGGGUUGUUAACAGAUAGAAUUGAACAGAGGCUUCUAAUGCUGCUUGCACAAUACCGCUUGCACGCCUGUGCCUCGACAAGAACACUUGUGGGCUAGCCUGACGAUGGGUUGGGAGCAGAGUUCACUAAUGACAGACAUUCCAGCCAAGCCGAUGCUCGGUCAGCUAACGGUGAACCAGUCCACAGUCCUGGAUGUGUACCCUGUCAGAAUGAGCAGAGCUGCCUGGCUAACUCACAACCCAAAGCAGCCACACCCAUCCCUGGGCAGACGCAGAACUAAAUAAGGGUUCAAGCUAGGCUGGACAUGGUGGCACAAACCUGUAAUCUGAGCACUUAAGAGAUGUUGUCAAGAGAGUUGCUGAGAAUUCAAGGCCAGCAUAAGCUACAUAGCAAGACCUUGACCCCCAAACACUGAAGAAACAACACGAACUUAGAAAAGGGUUAACAGGAUGGCAUAACAAGUGAGCAGGGUAUGUGCUGUUAAACCCGUCAACUUGGGUUUAAUCUCCAGAGUCCGUAAGGUGAAAUGAGAGAGCAAACUCUCACAGGUUGUCUUCAGACUUCCAUACAGUCGCCAUAUACACAAACAACCACAAACCAAAUAAAUGUACUAAUUAAAAAAAAAAAACAGAUAAAAAUAUAGUAUUUCAUAAAACAUGAACCCAAGCAACGUUCAAAUUCCACUGUCCAUAUAUAUUGUUUUACUGAAACAGUCAUGCUUAUUUAUUUAUAUAGUGUCUGGGGAGGCUUUUGUGCUUCAGAGAAAGAGUCUGGAGAUGAUCUGAGAGGACUUUGUGAGCUACUGAAUGGUUACUUGUCUUAGCCAGCGACAAUCGGUAGAUUAUUGACCCAGCAUUCCUGUAGGGAAAUUCGCUGACACGUCUCAUCUGAGAGCUCAAGUCCCCUGGAGAAAGUGCUGGGGUGGGGGUGGGGGGCGUCCGGAAUGAGGUCAGGCCAAAGGCAGCCUGCUCUACUUCCCCACUACGGGCGUGGACCUUGAGCUGGGUCAGUGGCUGGGCCACGGGCUGGAAUGGUGGACACCGGUAUGCCAAUCGUACUGUAUCCUUAGGUAGUUCCCAUGUGAAGAGCAGACAGCAUGAGCCACUCUGCUGCAGCGACUCUGUAACAUAUUUUCGAUGAGUUUCAUCCACCCCCAAAUGCAUACUCAGAGGUCAGUUUGCAUUGGAGCAGAGAUAGAAAGACGGCUGCUGAAAGAUAAAACCCAGACAGUAUUUACCUAGAUUAAUUUGGUUAUGUUUACGCAGCGAGGCUAAAAUUUAAUUCCCACCCUGGAGUCUACUGGUAGAAACUCAGCAGGAUCAUGGUAUCAGUUAAUAAA